UAGCCUAGAUAGACAUCACAAAUGUGCGUUGCGCUCAAAAUCGUGCAGAUUUUUAUGCUCUCGAGAUAAAACGUGAACUGCCGUUGUUGUGAAUAGACGUCGAUAAAGGAUGAACUCUCGUUUAUUGCUGGUGUUCUUGGGAAUUGUUCAGACGACGUUCGGGGCUACCUCACUUGAUCCGAUAAAGACAGAAGUUGUACACGGGAAGACUGUGAAGUUCUGCACAUACAAAGGAAUACGCCUCCUUCCAAAGUCGACAUUAAAAGAUUAUGACGUGUGCCAAACAUGUGUCUGCUCCCAGACCGGAUUGUCAUGUUCAAGCAUGGGUUUCACAGUGACAGAUAUUCCUGCAGACUCGAAAUGCAUUAACGUGAAGAUUGAAUGCAAGAACGUUUGGGUUAUGAAAAAUGACACAACGAAGAAGUGCCCGAAGAAACUGAUUCCGAAAAAAGUUGGAGCCGUUGGAAAAUAACUAUCAACCCGAUUAUUAGUAAUAUAAUCUAUUUACCCACUUUCAUCAACUAAAAAACAAAACUGUAUCCAACCACUUAAUCUAUGCUCUUGUAUCAAAUGAAGACUUAAUAAAAAAAUAAGUACUUUC